GGUAGUGUAGCUGAGCGGUUGAAGGCGCUGGAUUAAGGCUCCAGUCUCUUCGGGGGAAUGGGUUCGAAUCCCAUGGCUGCCA